rnacentral:rRNA from 1 species
CAAUAGCGUAUAUUAAAGUUGUUGCAGUUAAAAAGCUCGUAGUUGGAUUUCUGGGAGGGUGCCGCCGUCCGGCGUGUCCGUGUGCAGUGGCGCCCUUCCAUCCUUCUGUUAGCGUCUCUUGGCAUUCAUUUGCUGGUGGCGGGCUCAGAUAUUUUACCUUGAGAAAAUUAGAGUGUUUCAGGCAGGCUAGGCCGGAAUACAUUAGCAUGGAAUAAUGGAAUAGGACUACGGUCUCUUUGUUGGUUUGAGGGACUGCAGUAAUGAUUAAUAGGGAUAGUUGGGGGCAUUAGUAUUUAAUUGUCAGAGGUGGAAUUCUCAGAUUUGUUAAAGAUGGACUACUGCGAAAGCAUUUGCCAAGGAUGUUUUCAUUG